rnacentral:rRNA from 12 species
CGGCAACGAUGAAGAAUGCAGCCAAAAGCAAGAGGCUGCGCAUGGCGUUGCCGGUAAUUUUCAUGCUGAAAUAGACGUUGAACGGAAUCGG